CCUCAAGCGUGAACCGACUUGCUCGGGGAAGCGUGGAGGGCCGCAGAGACCAGGGAGAAGCGACUGUUUACUAAAAACACAGGUCCGUGCGAAGUCGCAAGACGAUGUAUACGGACUGACGCCUGCCCGGUGCUGGAAGGUUAAGAGGACGGGUCAGCACGCAAGUGCGAAGCUCAGAAUUUAAGCCCCAGUAAACGGCGGUGGUAACUAUAACCAUCCUAAGGUAGCGAAAUUCCUUGUCGGGUAAGUUCCGACCUGCACGAAUGGCGUAACGACUUCUCCGCUGUCUCAACCGCGAACUCGGCGAAAUUGCACUACGAGUAAAGAUGCUCGUUACGCGCAGCAGGACGGAAAGACCCCGGGACCUUUACUAUAGCUUGGUAUUGGUGUUCGGUGCGGCUUGUGUAGGAUAGGUGGGAGACUGUGAAGCCCGGCACGCCAGUGUCGGUGGAGUCAACGUUGAAAUACCACUCUGGUCGCUCUGGAUGUCUAACCUCGGUCCGUGAUCCGGAUCAGGGACAGUGCCUGGUGGGUAGUUUAACUGGGGCGGUUGCCUCCCAAAAUGUAACGGAGGCGCUCAAAGGUUCCCUCAGCCUGGUUGGCAAUCAGGUGUCGAGUGCAAGUGCACAAGGGAGCUUGACUGUGAGACUGACAGGUCGAGCAGGGACGAAAGUCGGAACUAGUGAUCCGGCGGUGGCUUGUGGAAGCGCCGUCGCUCAACGGAUAAAAGGUACCCCGGGGAUAACAGGCUGAUCUUGCCCAAGAGUCCAUAUCGACGGCAUGGUUUGGCACCUCGAUGUCGGCUCGUCGCAUCCUGGGGCUGGAGUAGGUCCCAAGGGUUGGGCUGUUCGCCCAUUAAAGCGGUACGCGAGCUGGGUUUAGAACGUCGUGAGACAGUUCGGUCCCUAUCCGCUGCGCGCGCAGGAAACUUGAGAAGGGCUGUCCCUAGUACGAGAGGACCGGGACGGACGAACCUCUGGUGUGCCAGUUGUUCCGCCAGGAGCACGGCUGGUUGGCUACGUUCGGAAGGGAUAACCGCUGAAAGCAUCUAAGCGGGAAGCCUGCUUCAAGAUGAGGUUUCCACGGGGCUCGUCCCCGAGAGGCUCCCAGCUAGACCACUGGGUAGAUAGGCCGGACGUGGAAGGCAGGACUAACGACUGCCGUAGCUGACCGGUACUAAU
rnacentral:rRNA from 1 species